CUUCCCUUUGUUUUGUUUUGCUUUUUUGAGAGGGAGAGAUAGAGUGUGAGUGAGCGGGAGGGGGAGAGGGGGAGGGAGAGAGAUCUGAAGUGGGCUCCAUACCCAGCACAGAGCCUGACACAGGGCUCGAUCUCACGACCCUGAGAUCAUGACCUGGACUGAAAUCAAAAGCCGGAUGCUUGACCCACUGAGUCACCCAGGUGCCUCUAAAACUUCUCUUUGGUUUAAGCUUGUUAGAGCUGAGUUUCUGUCUCUUGCACUACAAAGAGCCUUGCGGGGCGCUUGGGUAGCUCAGUCAGUUGAGCGUCUGACUUUGGCUCAGGUCACGAUCUCACGGUUUGUGAGUUUGAGCCCUGUGUCUGCUCUGUGCUGACAGCUCAGGGCCUGGAGCCUGCUUCAGAUUCUGUGUGUGUGUCUCUCUCUCUCUCUCUCUCUGCUCCUCCCCUGCUCACACUCUGUCUCUCUUUCAAAAAUAAGUAAAGAUUAAAAGAGCCUUGAGUAACCUACCAGAUGAAUAUAAUAUUUCUACUUUCAUAAAUAGAAAAAAGUUGUAUGGUUUUUGGAGAUUGAAAAAUAGACAUCAAGAUCUAAAAUCAUCUGGUUUCUGUUACAUAUGGGAGAAUUUUGUAGAAGAAUAGAAUAAUACCCAAGUUAAAGUUCCUUGUUACAGCUGUCAUUGUUUCCUUCUGCCAGACUCUAAAAGACCUCAGGUUCUUGGAAGCCUGGGACGUACACGGAGCUAUGGACCAAAAUAAGUCAGCAAAUAUAAGUCACUGGAAUCCAUGGAGAAAUAAAUCAGAAAUAAUGGAAACGUCCUAUAAAGCUGAACAAAUACAAUGAAGAAAAAAAUAAGCACAGCAUGGAUUUGAAACGUAGUAAGAGCCCUCUUUUUCAUCUAUACCCUACUUCUUAAAAGUGAAUGAAGGGUGUGGAUUCUGCAGGCAGGCCACCUGCUUGCAUGUCACAUCUGCCAGUCAUUCGUUGUGUGAUCCUGGUAAAAUCUGUGCCUCUGGUUCAAUGUCUACUAAAUGGGAAUAAUAGUAGCACCUACCUUCCAGAGUUAUGAAGAGUCAAUGAAACAAUCUACAUAAUGUUCUUAGAACAGCACUUGGCAAAUCAAAAGGACAUAUGUGAGCAUUAGCUACCAUUAUAGUUGUUAUUACUGUCACCAGGAUUCUAUAUACUAAGAGCUACUCAGCUAUAAUGUGUCGAUGAAGGAAUGUCACAAGUAGCAUCUGUGUUAUUUAUACGUCUGUAACAAAUGUGAUGUAAUAACUGUGCCUCCUCUCCCUCUCCUCUGUCUUGUCUUCCUCUCUGUUCCCCAAACCAAAGACAGUCUAACUGUUUGCCUCCAGAGAAUAGACAUCCACUUCCUGUGGGACCAGCUGCCAUGACCAGACACUGGGCUUGGUCUGACCAUCACUGUUCAGUUCAUGGCAAUGACAAGAAGCUGAUCAUUUGGUACUCAGUGUUAAAAUUAAUCUGUUUUAAAUAAAACGAUUUAAGGGA